UACGGAGGAUGCAAGCGUUAUCCGGAAUGAUUGGGCGUAAAGCGUCCGCAGGUGGCAAUGUAAGUCUGCUGUCAAAGCGUCUGGCUCAACCAGAUAAAGGCAGUGGAAACUACAUAGCUAGAGUAAGGUAGGGGUAGAGGGAAUUCCUGGUGUAGCGGUGAAAUGCGUAGAGAUCAGGAAGAACACCAGAGGCGAAGGCGGUUACCUGGACAGUUACUGACGCUCAGGCACGAAAGCAUGGGGAGCAAAAGGG
rnacentral:rRNA from 1 species